rnacentral:rRNA from 1 species
UACGGAGGGUGCAAGCGUUAUCCGGAUUUAUUGGGUUUAAAGGGUCCGUAGGCGGAUCUGUAAGUCAGUGGUGAAAUCUCACAGCUUAACUGUGAAACUGCCAUUGAUACUGCAGGUCUUGAGUGUUAUUGAAGUAGCUGGAAUAAGUAGUGUAGCGGUGAAAUGCAUAGAUAUUACUUAGAACACCAAUUGCGAAGGCAGGUUACUAAGCAACAACUGACGCUGAUGGACGAAAGCGUGGGGAGCGGACAGG